rnacentral:lncRNA from 1 species
GUCGAGAUAUUUCGCCCAAUAGUGAAAAAUGGUUGUUAAUUUGUUUGCUGAAGACCAACCAAGAGGAGGCAGCGGUGGAUAAAAAAAGUGAUGAGAGCAGAGAUGUUUUGAUUGAUGUGCUCCAUCAUUCAACGUCCGUUCUUCUCCACAGCGUCAAGAACCAGUGUUUGUGUGUUUGUGCACAUCAAGUAAAGAUAAGGCAGUAAUGAUGACUGACGGGCCCUACUGCCACCUGGCGGACAAAUACAAGACUGCAGAGAUUGAACUGCAAGAGAUGGAGCUGUAAUUUGAGAAACUGGCCACCAGCUGGCGCGCACACACAACAUAGGCAACGCUUUAUCUGGCACAAGACAGUGGACAGGCAGGUCUUGGCUGCAAUGAGUAAACUACCAACGCCAGAGCCCAGCUGGUGCUGAACAGACCCUCAGCCACACGCCUUUCGAGUGGGCCAUGAAAUGUGGCUUGUUCUUAUUUAAUCCCAUGUGUCUGAAGUUACUGAACAUAAACUGUCCUACUGCCAGUGCACCCCAUGAACCAGGCAGACCUCAGUCCGAG